GUAAUUAUAGUUUAACUAAAACAUUAGAUUGUGGUUCUAAAAACAAAAGUUAAAAUCUUUUUAAUUACC
rnacentral:tRNA from 1 species